rnacentral:rRNA from 1 species
CUCAGAGUGAACGCUGACGGCGUGCUUAACACAUGCAAGUCGAACGAGAACGGAUUAUAGCUUGCUAUAAUUGUCAGCUAAGUGGCGCACGGGUGAGUAAUGUAUAGGUAAUAUGCCUCUUACUAAGGGAUAACAAAUGGAAACGUUUGCUAAUACCUUAUACUCCUUAUUAACAGAAGUUAAUAAGGGAAAGAUUUAUUGGUAAGAGAUUAGCCUGUAUUGUAUCAGUUAGUUGGUGGGGUAAUGGCUUACCAAGACUAUGACACAUAACUGGUUUGAGAGGAUGAUCAGUCACACUGGAACUGAGACACGGUCCAGACUCCUACGGGAGGCAGCAGUGGGGAAUAUUGCACAAUGGACGAAAGUCUGAUGCAGCAACGCCGCGUGGAGGAUGACACAUUUCGGUGCGUAAACUCCUUUUAUAUGAGAAGAUAAUGACGGUAUUAUAUGAAUAAGCACCGGCUAACUCCGUG